GGAGGCUGAGGCAGGAGGAUCGAAAGUUCAAAGUCAGUCUCAGCAAUUUAGUGAGGCCCUAAGCAACUUAGCAAGACCUUGUCUCAAAAUAAAGUAUAAAAAAGGGUUUGGGAUGUGGCUCAGUGGUUAAGUUCCUGUGAGUUCAAUUCCUGGUACCCGCCCCGCCCCAAAUGUUGUCAUUUUCAUUCCACUCAAAUAAAGUUUAAUUUUCCUUUUUCUCUUUUAAAAAACAAUUUUAUUUCAUAAUAUAUAUUCAUUGUACAAAAUAAUGUUUUCCUUUGUGAAGUUUUAAAUAUGCAUAUGAUGUACUUUGAACAUACCCACCCUCCCUAUUACUAUGUCUUAUCCCUUUUAACAACCCCUUCCCUGAGGUAUCCCUUUCUCUUCUCUAAUAAUCCUCCUCCUCUUAUGUUGUCUUUUUAUUUUUUCUAGAUUCUGCAUGUGAGAGAAAACAUGUGACAGUUUUUUUUUUUUUUAAUUUGGCUUAUUUUGCUUGACUUGAUGAUCUCCAUUUUCAUCAUUUUCCUGUUUUUGUUUUAUUUCUUCUUUGACCAAUGAGUUAGAAUUGUAUCAUUCAGUUUCCAAAUAUUUUGCAAUUCUCUGUUACUGAUUUCUUUCUUCUUCUCCUUAUUUUAUUUUAACUUUUCCAUUGUGGUGCUGGGGAUCAAUCAAACCUAGGGCCUUUCCUGGCAAAUAAAUGUUCUAUCACUGAGUUACAUCUACAGUCCUGUUAUUGAUUUCUAAUUUAAUUCUCUUUUGAUCAGACAACUUAAUUUAUAAGAUUUAAAUUCUUUGAAAUUUAUAAAGAUUGGUUAGGCUAUUGUUAAGACAAUAAGAGUAUGGUCUGUCUUGGUAAAUGUUCUCUGUAUAGCAGACAAGGGUAUAUGUUUCUGCUAUUGUUCGGUGGAGUGUCCUAAAAAAGUUAGACCAAAUUGAUUGAUAGUUUGUUCAACUUUUUGUUUUUCUGUCUUUACUGAUGUCUAUUUGUUAUAUCAAUUUGAAAUAAGUAUUAAAAUCUCCCUCUAUGUAACUUUAUUUGAGUACCUUUCCUCUUUCAAAUUAAUCAGGUUUUGCUUUAUGUAUUUUGGAGUUCUCAUAAUAGGUGCAUUUAAGAUUGAAUUUGAGAGUGCUGCAUUCUCUUGAUGAAGUGAUUCCUUUAUCAUAUUAUAAUGACCCUCUGUUUUUUUUUAAAGAGAGAGAGAGAGAGAGAGAGAGAGAAUUUUUUUAAUAUUUAUUUUUUAGUUUGCGGCAGACUCAACAUCUUUGUAUGUGGUGCUGAGGAUCGAACCCAGGCUGCACGCAUGCCAGGCGAGCGCGCUACCACUUGAGCCACAUCCCAGCCCACCCUCUUUAUUUUUGAUAAUAUUUUUUGCUUUAAAAUCUGUUUUGUCUGAUGUCAAUAUAGCAUGGUUUGUAUUUUCUAUCACUUUAACCUAUCUGUGUCAUUUAAAGGGGAUUUUUUGUAAGCAAAAUUUAAUUUGGUCUUUUAUUAUGUGAUUUGACGAUCUGCCUUUUCAUUUGUGUGUUUAUAUUUUAUGUCAUUAAUAUGGUUGGAUUGGAUUCCACUGUAUUAGCACUUGCUUUUUGGUUGUCUUGUUUAUUAUUUUGUUCCUUUUUCCCUCUUAUUUUCUUCUGGAUUAGCUGAAUAAUUUUUAUGAUUUCAUUUUAUAUCCUUUAUUGGAUUAUUUCUCUACUUCUUUUAUUUUUUAAGUGGUUACUAUAUGGUUUGCAAUAUAUUUCUUUACAGAAUACCUUCAAAUAAUUUACUAUCUCAUGUAUAACAUGAGAAAAGCCAGGUAUUCUCAAC
rnacentral:lncRNA from 1 species